GCCGGUCGGCCUUGCGAAGCUUUGCUUCGGGGGUGGACUUCUGGAUCGCGUAGCAGCGUUUGCGUCGGUAUCUGGGCUUGUAGCUCAGUUGGUUAGAGCACACGCUUGAUAAGCGUGGGGUCGGAGGUUCAAGUCCUCCCAGGCCCACCAUGUUACAUGAUAAGGGGCCGUAGUUCAGCUGGGAGAGCACCUGCUUUGCAAGCAGGGGGUCGUCGGUUCGAUCCCGUCCGGCUCCACCAUCGUGUUUUGGUGUAGAGACGGAUAUUGGCAAUCAACGAAAGAAAGAAACAAGUUUGCGGACUUUUAUGAAAGUCUGCCUGUUCUGUAUGAAAUCGUGAAGAGAAGAUGUAAUCGGAUCAACUAUCCAGUUGAUGUCGCAAGAGCUUGCUCAAGCCUUGCAUUAUGAUUGAUGUGUUUAACCGCCAUCACCGAUUGUAUCUCGAGAAGCUGGUCUUUCUGCUGAUACUGUUGAAGC
rnacentral:tRNA from 1 species